rnacentral:lncRNA from 1 species
UGCUGGCAGUACCAAACCGAAGUUUAGCACUGUGCAGCUGAGAUUUUGUGCAGCCAGACGAUGCAUGAGAAAGGAUUGGUCUUGGCACAGCAAUUGUGGGGAUUUAAGGAUAUGCUAAACUGAUAACUGCAGAAUGAGCUCUGACAUAGGAUAUUGGUCUCCUCCUGUUACCUAAAUGCCAGGUGAAACCAAAGGAUUUCUAGAAGGGUCUGAAACCAUUGUCUUGAGUGGCUGAUACCAUACAAAGAAGAAUUGUUGAGAUGCCUGAAACCUAAUUACUUGAAGAGCCCCCUCCAUAGGUGUUAUCUUUUAUCAGUGCCUUCAGUGGUGCAACUGGACACUGGUUGGCUUUGCUUUAGGACAUUAUUUGAGAUAUGGCUAAGCUGAUAUUAACACAAAUCAUAACCCCAUUGCAACUUUUCUGUGUAUUCAGAAACAUCUGCCAUAGUUGCAUCAUUCCCCAUCUUUAAGAUGUCCUGUUUUGCUAUAAGUAAAAUGUAUUUCAGGCUCUCUGGUCCUGUAAGAAACAAUCCUUUAGAUUUCUACAUGCAACCUUGCUCCCAAUGUAGGUAAAGUAGGAAGAGGAGUGGAGAAGGACCCAAAGACCACAAGUAGGAACUGUGGGAUUGCUCCAGUUUCUAUGUUUAAGGUCUAAAGGUUUUGGGAAGAGAGAGAGAGAGAAGCCAGCAAGUGAAAAUGAUGAAGCUCUACACACUUCCAUCAUUAGCUUGGUCAGAAAUUGGAGGCUGAGAACUGGUGUGACUUGGGUGCACUAUUUAUUUGUAUAGGCAAAGGCAAGCCUCAUAUCCCCUCCUUUUAAGUUUGUAGGUAACAUCAUGGAACUGAGGACUACGUUUGGGUUCCAAGACUGCAGUGUCACACACCAUAGGAAACUAAUCUUUGAAUCUAUGCUUUUCAGUUUUACUUUUUUUCUCCCAGUUUCUGAUGAGGAUUUGCUGUAAGUGACUCAUAGUGAAAAAUAAGAUUUUACUAUUAAUCAGGAAGGAUAGACAAGUCCUCAAAGUCUCCCUGGAAAUUGCUGUCUUGCAUAGGACCUAUUGAGUCCAACAGUGCUGGUGGACUUUCAGGCAGCAGUGCUAAAUCAGUGUCUUUUAUCAUCUAUAGCUACAUAAAAGACUGCGACUUCUCCUUCCUAAUGAGAGACUUCUGUAAUGCUCUCUGCUUAGGGCUAUUCUUGAGGAAUAAGGAAUCCAAGACAGAUGUGGCAGUGACCAUCAUAUUAAUCUCAAAGACCAAAUCCCUCAAAGCAAAGGAAAUAUGAACAAUUAAAACAAUAAAUACACUGAAUCAUAGGAAUUUCCAGGGCCCUCAGUACUAACUCCAGUUCCACACAUUAAUUUGUAAUUCUUGAGCCAUGAAAAAGUAAAUCCUCUUUUGUUUAGAGAACAAGAUUAAAAUGCUACUAAUAUUGAAAC